rnacentral:rRNA from 1 species
GACGAACGCUGGCGGCGUGCCUAAUACAUGCAAGUAGAAAGCUGUUGCGAACGGGUGAGGAACGCGUAGGAAACUGCCCACAAGCGGGGGAUAACUAUUGGAAACGAUAGCUAAUACCGCCUACUGUGAGAUGGACCUGCGUUGUAUACGCUAGUUGGUGAGGUAAAGGCUCACCAAGGCGACGAUACAUAGCCGACCUGAGAUGGGUGUCGGCCAAACUGGGAAUGAAACACGGCCCAGAAUCCAACGGGAUGCAACAGUAGGGAAUCUUCGGCAAAGGACGGAAGUCUGACCGAGCAACGACGCGUGGGUGAAGAAGGUUUUCGGAUCGUAAAGCUCUGUUGUUAGAGAAGCGGUAACUAACCAGAAAGGGACGGCUAACUACGUGCCAGUCGCCGCGGUAAUAC